rnacentral:lncRNA from 1 species
GCCCGAGAUAAGGGGAUGCAACUGUUCAGGUCUGAUUUCCUGUUGUUUCUCAGACACUGAUAGGGCAUCAUUCACAUAAAUGACAAAUAAGACUUCUGAACUGUUUGCAAUUUGGGAAGUGGAGGCUCGCGGGUUGUUCCUUGGCGAAAUGAUUUGUCAAACAUCAGUCCGAAAUUAUUCGGGGGUUCUUCGCCCUCCACUUUCCCAUAGCGCGUUUUCCUUUCUCCCACAGAGAUAUAAUAGAAACUAAUCUUCAAAAUCCAAACAUUCCAAGCCCCGUCCUUUUGUGCAGGCAUCUCGCUGUCUGCGCUGGGCGCGGAGCGGCGCGCGCGCGCCCGUCUUUCCCUCGGCGGCCCCCCGCGGCUCGGACCCGGGCCGGCAGACAGGCCAUCCAUCAUCCGCCCUCCUCCCGCGGAGCGCCGCAGCCGCCGCGGCCAAUCCGGCGGCAGGUGGGGCCGCACCUGCGGGACGGCCGGCCGCUCCCCUCCGCUCUCUUCGCCGCGCCUCGCGUGCUAGCGGUGCCCUUGUGAGCCACUGCGUUCUCCAAGGCCAGAACGGGACAUUGACGAUGGUCGUACUUCUCCAUGUUCUGAGACCAGUUUAAACAAAAACAAAAACCAGACAACAACCUUGCAAGGGAAAGAAUUCAGAGUAAAUAAACAGUCUUUUUCUGGGAAGUAAAAUAUUUCCCUAAAUGGAGAAAUUGAGAUGAGAGCUCAUCCACAAGAUUACCCAUCAAUGAGCACCAAUAGCAACCAAAUCCACUAGAAGACUGGGAGCUUUUAAGUCAAGAAACUUACAUCAGUAUCAUCAUUCCAAGAAGCGGCAUCCAAGCUGUUUUAUCAAAAGUGUGCAUGGGAAAACCCCUUCCUGAGGCACAGACCGUGCAGGCUCUGAAGAAAUAGGAUAGAUUAUUUCAGCUCUCUCAGCUUGGGAAGUGUGUUUGGAAGAGCAUCUUCCUAGCUGCAAUAAUAAACAGCUCCAGCUGCAAGAGCUUUGCUAAACAAGCCUGGGCAAAACCGUUGGAUUCCUUUCCUUUGACCAUCUUAGAUUUCCCCUGCAAGAGGCAAGGCAGGGAGCCGGCCCUGGAAAUGUCCUCCCAGCCCUGCCCUGUGCAGCUCUGCGCUUCCCCUGGAACACACGCCCUCCCCCAGUCCGCCGCCCCACUUUUGUUUUAUUUACGAAUAUGUUGCCAGAAUUCCAAUGAGUUAUCUAUUCUGUGGCCCCUUCAUUUUCCCACCGAGGCCUUGUCGCCGGCUGACUCAGGGUCCAGUCGCAACAGUGAGAAGAAAAGAAGAGAGCAAAAGAAUUCUUUUCAACUUUUUUUUUUUUUUAUGUUUCACUCAUUUCUCUCUCUGUCUCUCCCCCAGGCCUCCUCCCCUCUCCUGCUCCCUCCUUCCCCCCACUCCCCAGCCUCCUAGGCUCUCCUUUACCCCCUUUAUGUUACACGAUCGCUCAACUUGAAGCUCAGGAAGGUCCUAUAGGGAAUGCAUAGGAACCCUGGGAGAAAAAAGCCCCCAACAAGCUAUACACCAGAUGUAUAACGUUAUAUGGUCAAACUGGCAAACACAAAAGCUGAAAAACAAAAGGCGUGAAUUAGGGAGACGCAUUCAAAGGCGUGUUUUCAAAACAGCCCGGCCAAGAGCCUGGAUCCCCCUCCUGAGACUAAAUGCUUGAAAGAAAAGGUGCUAAAGAAAGAAAGGAAAAGAAAAAAAGCCCAUUUUUUCUAAUUAGCUGAGGCCUAACAGGCGCUGAAUUUCGCAACUAGUUUUCAUCAAGGGGGUUGUGGCUCGUGAAACUGAAAAAAGAUGCUUUUGAAACCUGUGAUGGAGGCCCUUUCUCGGACCAAAGCUGGUCUCUCUCCUUGAGCUGUUUUCUCCCCCUCGCUAUUUGGGUUCUGCCUUGCUUCAUAUCUUGAUCCCUUUUUUGCACCCUCCCCUCAAAGUACAAAUAUUAUUUGGGCUUAAAAAGAGAGCAGGAGGGAAAGCCACAAUAGCCCUCCCCGCCCCUCUUUCUGUCUGGUAGGCAGGGGGUUUUCCUUGCCAGCAACAGUCCUGAGUCGCUAUGAAUCUCAUUCCAAAGCUCCGCAGAGCACCAAAGGGGAGGGAAAAGGUGUCACUGCAGGCUGAGUGUGUGUGUGUGUGUGUGUGUGUGUGUGUGUGUGUGUGUGUUUUCUGUAAACGCUGGGAUUAAAAUUAAAAACCCUCCACUACUGUGAUUUUAGAUAUUUGGAGGAUGGUCUCUCGCUGAGUGUUUUUUCAAAUGCAACUAGGCAAUGUUUUCUAGGCAGCAAGGUAGAUUCCCAGAGCAAAAGGUUUUGCUCCUCCUGCGCUUUCAGAAAGGACACACACAAGCAACCUGAAUUUUUUUUUAAUUCUGAUUUGAAGUGUAUAAAAGGAUGUUGCAACCAGAGAGUUACUAGUCUUCUGCUGCAUGAACAAAUUAUGAACUUGCAUUCUUCAAUCACAUUUCUAAUAGGAAAACAAAGCAGAACUCGUGGGUGAGAGUUGGUGGGCCGCCCGCGUUUGGAAGGCAGGCAACUUUAAUUGCCGUGCUGUCUGGCUCGGAUCCCUGUGGUCCUGCGUGGUGUGUUUUAGUAACAAACACUUGUUCUAAUGAAUUGGCCUUAUUAGGGGGCUCCUCAUAUUCUUUUAUAAAGAGCAGAGCUAUUCUGAACUUCUGAAUGCAACAGUCUCUUGAUAUUCUCACACUGAAGGCCGUAGUGUGGGAUUGCAUUCCCUCUCCUGUAUUUUCAUAAGGCUCAUAUUUUUUAAUGGCAGAAGAGUGAGCAGUGGUAGAAAGAUAAGAAAACUACAGAGCUUGCAGGUACCUGCCAUCCAUGGACCCAGGGCCAUCAAAGAGGCUUGCAAAAUCAUUAUGCUAAAAAUGUAUUUGCCUUCACAGCUGAACAAUCCGGAUUUUAGUUCAGUCACCUCCUAUGGUGCUGUGAGUGGGGAGUGAGUCAAAAACUCCGCUGGGGUGCACAAAAGGCUACUCAAAUGUCCACAGCAUCUGUGGGGAAUGGAGAAUAGUUGGAGGAUCUUUCUCCAGAAUCCUUCUGUUCUGUAGUACAAGUAUUACUCGUUAUAGACUAGCACGAAAAAUCAAGUGAAGUGCGAACUUAAGAGUUUAAAAAGAAUAAAUGGUGCUUUUCUGACCUAUUAGUAAGAAAUUAAAGAAAAAUAGUUUUAAUUUGUAAGUAAAGAAUGCUAAUCUACAUUGUAUUAAUUGGGCUUAACCAGAGAGUUUUUGUUUACAUACAUUAGGCAAACAAACAAUAGGAAUGAGGAUUUUUAAUAAAGAAGGAAGCCAGAAACACACACACACAAGCACACACACACACACACACACACACCAAAUAAGAGAAUACUAAAAGAUCAGAGAAAAUGUAAUUAUACUUAUCAAAAAUGUUUUAAUGCAGUGGCCUAUUAGUUUCAGAAUAUAAAAUUUAUUUGAUUUGUUGAGCAACUUGGAGCUUAUUUUUUAAUCCUUUCAAAUAAUGGGAACUUGAAACAUACUCGGCUGUGUAUAAGAUAUAUGUGAUAUUAGAAAGUCAUAUAUAUCUGUUAAUAUAUAUUCAAAUUUUGACUCCAAAAGUCCAGGAUGGGGCCUGAGGUUCUGCAUGUCUAACAAUUUCCCAGCUGAUGCCAAAGCUGCUGAUCAGAGUCUACACCUUAAGAAUAAGACUCUGAGAAUUUAUAGAAACAAACAUUAGAAGGCAGGAAUGUGGAGAGAAGAAAGCUACCUGACGAGGGAAUCUCAGGAUACAAGGAAAACACCAAAAGUCCCCAUGAGUCCCUACAGCCACAAUAAAUUGAAUUCUGCCAAAAA